UGGACUUAAUGAAACUAUGCCAUCAUGUUUUUUGGAUCUACAGUUUGCAGACCACAGAUGACAGGGCUUCUAAUCCUCCAUGUUCAUGAGUAAGGAGAAGACCACCAAGACUGUGUGUCCUCAAGAAGUUCACAGAAUCAUGGAGGAGGCAGACAAGAAAAGGAAUAUGAAAAAAAGAAGCCUUAAAAAUUAGGACAUUUAUCUUCACCUAAAAGCCCAGAUCUGUGUUGAGUCUGGGUCAUGAUUGCACCACUGGGCUAUUCAGGUGUGUUCAAAACAGUGUACCUGCUCCUUCAGAACUUUGAUGAGUCCUGGAUUUUGUUCAGCAUGUUGCAGUAUAUAGAAACACUCAGUGUGAGUCCGCAGAUGAAGAAUAUCUCCCAAAGCUGAAGCAUCCUGUGUGAGAGUGUGUGUUUAUAACUUUGAGAUGUUCUCCAAGACUCAAGUAAAAGUGAUAUUCAAAUUUGAGUUUGGUAUGUUCUACACAUAAAUCGCCCUCUCUAUCUCCAAACUUCCUUAAGAGCUUAGAUAAACAUGACCAAAUUAAACCCCAAGUAGGUAAAGAUAGCAGAAACUAGCCAAAAUUUAAAGGAAUAUUUAAUAGAGAAGACUAACUUUGAAAAGUAUGAUAAAUUUGAUAGACCCCUAAGUAAAAAAAUAUGUUGUGGGAGCC